rfam:Triticum aestivum genome assembly, contig: Triticum_aestivum_CS42_TGACv1_scaffold_433202_5DL
UAGCUACUCCCUCCGUCUGAAAAUAAUUGUCGAAGAAAUGAAUACAAAUAUAUGUAUCUAGAACUAAAAUACAUCUAGAUACAUUCAUUCCCGGGCAAGUAUUUCCGAACGGAGGGAGUAGAUG